GACGAACGCUGGCGGCGUGCUUAACACAUGCAAGUCGAACGAAGUGGCGAACGGGUGAGUAACGCGUAAUCAACCUGCCCUUCAGAGGGGGACAACAGUUGGAAACGACUGCUAAUACCGAAUACUGAAGGAGGGGUUUGCGGCUGAAUAGCUAGCUGGGGGGGUAACGGCCCACCAAGGCGAUGAACAGUAGCCGGUCUGGGGGGAAGAACGGGCAAAUUGGGACUGAGACACGGCCCAGACUCCUACGGGAGGCAGCAGUGGGGAAGCUUCCGCAAUGGACGGAAGUCUGACGGAGCAAAGCCGGGGGAGUGAUGGCGGCCUUCGGGUUGUAAAGCUCUGUUAAUCGGGACGCGGUACCGGAAUAGAAAGCCACGGCUAACUACGUGCCAGCAGCCGCGGUAAUUC
rnacentral:rRNA from 1 species